rnacentral:rRNA from 1 species
GGAUGAACGCUGGCGGUAUGCUUUACACAUGCAAGUCGUACGGAGAAGAAAUUCUUAGUGGCGGACGGGUGAGGAAUAUGUGAGAAUUUGCCUUUAGGAAGAGGACAACGGUUUGAAAGGAUCGCUAAUACUCUAUAUGCAUUUAUUUGUGAAAGAAGUAAUUCGCCUAAAGAGAAGCUCACAUCUGAUUAGCUAGUUGGUAGGGUAAAGGCUUACCAAGGCGACGAUCAGUAACUGGUCUGAGAGGAUGAUCAGUCACACUGGAACUGAGACACGGUCCAGACUCUUACGAGAGGCAGCAGUGAGGAAUUAUUCGCAAUGGGCGCAAGCCUGACGAUGCAAUACCGCGUGAAGGACGAAGGCCUAUGGGUUGUAAACUUCUUUUUUCAAGGAGGAAGAUCUGACGUUACUUGAAGAAUAAGCAUCGGCUAACUCUGUGCCAGCAGCCGCGGUAAUACAGAGGAUGCAAGUGUUAUCCGGAAUUAUUGGGCGUAAAGCGUCUGCAGGUGGAUCUGCAAGUCCUUUGUUAAAUCUCUGAGCUUAACUCAGAAUCUGCAAAAGAAACUACAAAUCUAGAGUCUGGUAGAGGUUAAGGGAAUUUCCCAGUGGAGCGGUGAAAUGCGUAGAGAUUGGAAGGAACACCAACAGCGAAGGCACUUAACUGGGCCAUGACUGACACUCAGAGACGAAAGCUAGGGGAGCGAACAGGAUUAGAUACCCUGGUAGUCCUAGCUGUAAACGAUGAAUACUAGAUAUUAUUUACUUUAUGUAAAUAGUGUCGUAGCUAACGCGUUAAGUAUUCCGCCUGGGAAGUACGCUCGCAAGAGUGAAACUCAAAGGAAUUGACGGGGACCCGCACAAGCGGUGGAGCAUGUGGUUUAAUUCGAUGCAACACGAAGAACCUUACCAGGACUAGACUGAAAGAGAAGGUUUUCGAAAGGAAACUGUGCUACGGCCUCUUUCUCAGGUGGUGCAUGGCUGUCGUCAGCUCGUGUCGUGAGAUGUUGACUUAAGUGUCGCAACGAGCGCAACCCUUGUCCUUAGUUCAAAGUCUAAGGAGACUGCCGAUUAAAAAUCGGAGGAAGGCGAGGACGACGUCAAGUCAUCAUGCCCCUUACGUUCUGGGCUACACACGUGCUACAAUGGAAAUGACAAAAAGUCGCUAGUUCGUGAGGAUGAGCAAAUCUCUAAACAUUUCCUUAGUUCAGAUUGCAGGCUGCAACUCGCCUGCAUGAAGGUGGAAUCGCUAGUAAUCGCAGGUCAGCUAUACUGCGGUGAAUCCGUUCUCGGGUCUUGUACACACCGCCCGUCACACCAUGGAAGCUGAUUAUGCCCGAAGCUGCUUACUUAACCUUUUGGAGAGGGGUAUCGAAGGUAGAAUUGGUGACUGGGGU